GCCCAGACUCCUACGGGAGGCAGCAGUGGGGAAUAUUGCACAAUGGGGGAAACCCUGAUGCAGCAACGCCGCGUGAAGGAAGACGGUUUUCGGAUUGUAAACUUCUGUUCUUAGUGAAGAAGAAUGACGGUAGCUAAGGAGCAAGCCACGGCUAACUCCGUGCCAGCAGCCGCGGUAAUACGGAGGAUGCGAGCGUUAUCCGGAUUUAUUGGGUUUAAAGGGUGCGUAGGCGGAAUGCCAAGUCAGCGGUAAAAUCGCGGGGCUCAACCUCGCUCCGCCGUUGAAACUGGCGUUCUUGAGUGGGCGAGAAGUAUGCGGAAUGCGUGGUGUAGCGGUGAAAUGCAUAGAUAUCACGCAGAACUCCGAUUGCGAAGGCAGCAUACCGGCGCGCAACUGACGCUCAUGCACGAAAGCGUGGGUAUCGAACAGGAUUAGAUACCCCCGUAC
rnacentral:rRNA from 1 species